rnacentral:rRNA from 1 species
AGCGAACGCUGGCGGCAGGCCUAACACAUGCAAGUCGAACGAAGUCUUCGGACUUAGUGGCGGACGGGUGAGUAACACGUGGGAACGUGCCUUUAGGUUCGGAAUAACUCAGGGAAACUUGUGCUAAUACCGAAUGUGCCCUUCGGGGGAAAGAUUUAUCGCCUUUAGAGCGGCCCGCGUCUGAUUAGCUAGUUGGUGAGGUAAAGGCUCACCAAGGCUACGAUCAGUAGCUGGUCUGAGAGGAUGACCAGCCACAUUGGGACUGAGACACGGCCCAAACUCCUACGGGAGGCAGCAGUGGGGAUCUUGCGCAAUGGGCGAAAGCCUGACGCAGCCAUGCCGCGUGGAUGAUGAAGGUCUUAGGAUUGUAAAAUCCUUUCACCGGUGAAGAUAAUGACUGUAGCCGUAGAAGAAGCCCCGGCUAACUUCGUGCCAGCCGCCGCCGUAAGAC